rnacentral:rRNA from 1 species
UACGGAGGAGGCUAGCGUUGUUCGGAAUUACUGGGCGUAAAGCGCACGUAGGCGGUGAUGUAAGUCGGGGGUGAAAGCCCGGGGCUCAACCCUGGAAUUGCCUUCGAGACUGCAUCGCUUGAGUAUGGAAGAGGAGAGCGGAAUUCCCAGUGUAGAGGUGAAAUUCGUAGAUAUUGGGAAGAACACCGGUGGCGAAGGCGGCUCUCUGGUCCAUUACUGACGCUGAGGUGCGAAAGCGUGGGGAGCAAACAGG